CCUACGGGAGGCAGCAGUGAGGAAUAUUGGUCAAUGGGCGCGAGGCUGAACCAGCCAAGUAGCGUGAAGGAUGACUGCCCUACGGGUUGCAAACUUCUUUUAUCAAGGAAUAAAGUGAGGCACGUGUGCCUUUUUGUAUGUACCUUGUGAAUAAGGAUCGGCUAACUCCGUGCCAGCAGCCGCGGUAAUACGGAGGAUCCGAGCGUUAUCCGGAUUUAUUGGGUUUAAAGGGAGCGUAGAUGGGUUGUUAAGUCAGUGGUGAAAGGUUGCGGCUCAACCGUAAAAUUGCAAUUGAUACUGGCAGUCUUGAGUACAGUUGAGGUAGGCGGAAUUCGUGGUGUAGCGGUGAAAUGCUUAGAUAUCACGAAGAACUCCGAUUGCGAAGGCAGCUUACUAAACUGCCACUGACAUUGAUGCUCGAAAGUGUGGGUAUCAAACAGGAUUAGAUACCCUUGUAGUC
rnacentral:rRNA from 1 species